rnacentral:rRNA from 1 species
UGGAGCAUGUGGUUUAAUUCGAUGAUACGCGAAAACCUUACCCGGGCUUGACAUGCAUCAGACAGGCGUAGAGAUACGCCCUCCGCGAGGCUGGUGCACAGGUGCUGCAUGGUUGUCGUCAGCUCGUGUCGUGAGAUGUUGGUUAAGUCCCGCAACGAGCGCAACCCCUACCGUGUGUUACCAUCAUUAAGUUGGGGACUCGCACGGAACUGCCGGUGAUAAACCGGAGGAAGGUGGGGAUGACGUCAAAUCCUCAUGGCCUUUAUGUCCGGGGCUACACACGUGCUACAAUGGUCGGUACAGAAGGAAGCGAAGUCGUGAGAUGGAGCAGAUCCGAGAAAGCCGAUCUCAGUUCGGAUUGCAGGCUGCAAUUCGCCUGCAUGAAGUCGGAAUCGCUAGUAAUCGCAGGUCAGCAUACUGCGGUGAAUACGUUCCCGGGCCUU